CCAGAGUUGAAAAACUCCCUAAACACUUGUGAACCUACCCGUUAUCGUUGCUUCGGCGGGCGGCCCCAGGGGGGGCCUCUGCCCCUCGCGGGCGCCCGCCGGAGGUACCAAACUCUAUGUUUUAUUGUAUGAUUCUCUGAGAAAAACACAAAACAAGUCA
rnacentral:misc_RNA from 1 species